rnacentral:tRNA from 1 species
AUUUAAAUAGUUUAUAAAAAUAAUGAUUUGUGGAAUCAUAGAUAUACUUUAGUAUUUUAAAUA